rnacentral:lncRNA from 1 species
ACACGUGACGGGUGUGAGUGCAGCCAACAAAAUUAGAAAAGAAAAAAUAAUACAAAGGAUAAGGCACUGACACAUGGUCUACUUAGGUGAAGCUUCUAGAAUGGUGAACCAUGAAGAAGGCCACCCAGUCGCAGCGUUGUUCGCCUCCCUCUAGAUAUGUGUGGCUCGAGAGAGACCACACUCAUCUAAGAACCUAUGGAUGUCGUAGAGCAGCGGUUUAGAACCAGUGCCAUGCUUCCGACCUCCGAUCCACUUGAUCACCAUGGUCGAGCCUCUCUCAAGAAGGAUGCAAUCUGCCCAGCACACGCCUCGCAUAGGUGUACCUUUCAUGCAGCUCUGAGCUUGACACAAACUACAGAUGUGUUAAAGAUUCGCUGACCCCCAGCCGCUAUUAGUCUGGCAUCAUAGUCGCUG